CUUGCAGAGGAGAUUUUGCGGGAGAUCCUGCUAAGUCUGCCGACCAGAGACGCCGCCCGCUGCUGCUGCGUGUCGAGGCUCUGGUGCGGCGUCGUCACUGACCCCACCUUCCGCGCCCUUCACGCUAGGGCCUGGCAUGUCGUCGCCGGCGCCGGCGCGGAGGCCCUGCUCCUUUCCGAGAUCCGCAACCCUGGUAAAAGCCUCGAGGUGAGAGUAUACAACAUCAAUUCGCCUAAGCCCAUGUGCCGCGUCGUCGACCUGGCCGGGGGAUACAAACCUGCCAAUGCCUGCAUCGGCUUCCUCCUCCUCGCAUCUGGCGUCAAAAAUUGGCCCGUGUUCGUGUGCAACCCAGUCACCGGUAAAAAGCUGGAGGUCCCACCACCGAAGAUCAAUUUCAUGGACUGGCGCAUGUACGCCAUGGGGUUCAGCCCGGCCGCCCAUGAGUACAAGCUGUUCCGGUUUUCCUUCCCGUUUGGGUCCGAGGAGGACAACAACCACCUAGACGUGUACACCUUAGGCGAUGGCCGUGGGUGGCGCCGGCACCCGAUCCCGUUACCCUAUGCCGUGGUCUACGAU
rnacentral:rRNA from 1 species